rnacentral:rRNA from 1 species
UACGGAGGGGGCUAGCGUUGUUCGGAAUUACUGGGCGUAAAGCGCACGUAGGCGGCUUUGUAAGUCAGGGGUGAAAGCCUGGAGCUCAACUCCAGAACUGCCUUCGAGACUGCAUCGCUUGAAUCCGGGAGAGGUGAGUGGAAUUCCGAGUGUAGAGGUGAAAUUCGUAGAUAUUCGGAAGAACACCAGUGGCGAAGGCGGCUCACUGGACCGGGAUUGACGCUGAGGUGCGAAAGCGUGGGGAGCAAACAGG